UACGUAGGUGGCAAGCGUUACUCGGAAUCACUAGGCGUAAAGCGCACGUAGGCGGAUUGCUAAGUCAGGGGUGAAAUCCUGGAGCUCAACUCCAGAACUGCCUUUGAUACUGGCGACCUUGAGUCCGGGAGAGGUGAGUGGAACUGCGAGUGUAGAGGUGAAAUUCGUAGAUAUUCGCAAGAACACCAGUGGCGAAGGCGGCUCACUGGCCCGGUACUGACGCUGAGGUGCGAAAGCGUGGGGAGCAAACAGG
rnacentral:rRNA from 1 species